GUGACGUAAGCCCUGCUCAGUAAGAAGGCUCCGCAGGUCGGCAGGUAGGAAGAGCACUACCUCGCACACUGCGCAUGCGCCACCUCGGGUGGCCUCAAGAGAACACCACCACUAAUGGGAAGACUGCCCCCUGACCGGCACAUGGCCUCAGCAUUCAUCCACAGAUGCUCCUCAAAUUGUUUUAAAAACAGCUUUUUUUAAAAGCUGUUUGUCUAUGAAGAUUAAAUGAGUUAAUAAUAUAAGCAAAGCACUUUGCAUGGCUACUGGGCACGGUGGUUCAUGCCUGUAAUUCCAGCACUUUGGGAGGCCGAAGCAGGUGGAUCACCUGAGGUCAGGAGUUCAAGACCAGCCUGAUCAACAUGGCGAAACCCUGUCUCUAUUAAAAAUACAAAAAAAAUAGCCGGGCAUGGUGGCACGUGCCUGUAAUCCCAGCUACUUGGGAGGCUAAGGCAGGAGAAUCGCUUGAACCUGGGAGGCAGAGGUUGCAGUGAGCCGAGACCUCGCCGUUGCACUCCAGCCUGGUUGACAGAGCAAGACUCUGUCUCAAAAAACAAAAAAACCCCAGCUUUUGUCCAGAGGUUGCUUUUUGUGGGUCUGUACGCUGAGGCCAAGUUCUAUGUAAGCAGAGCCCUCCCACCUCACCUCCAAACAAUGCCUCUAAACCAUCACAAUCUGAAAGGAAAAUAAAUCCCUUUCUUCAAUGGUGACCUGAAGCUAGCCAAGGACCGGGUGCUGGCAGGUGGCCUGCGAGACUGGGUCGGAUCCCGGGUUACUGUCUGAGGAGGGAUGCCGUGCUGUAAGGGUUGGGGAGCCAGUGUCUGGCUUCCUUGUCACCACAAGACCUGUGGUUUCCAGCUCUGUCUGCAUCCAGGUCCCACUAACCAACAGCAGGAGAGAAAACAGUUGUGCACACAGGCGGACGCGCACACGCGCACCUGGCCCCCCAGACGUGCACAGCCCUCAGAGGAAGUGGAGCACCAGAUGUUCUGGGUUUCCUGUUCGACGCUUCCACAGCUGGUCGAGUCUGUGGUUGUGGUUUGUCUGUCUCGGGCUCAUGUGAGAGACAAAAGCUGGGCUGACGGGAAACCUCUUCUCUCGGCCCCCACUCCCCAGCUCUGACUGAUUAGGAAACCUGGCAGGUCAGAAAUUUCCUGAAACACCCAGAGCUGGAUUCUCCCAAGAAGAAGCUGAACCCCCAACUCCCAUCCCUGAGGAGCAGCCCCUGGGCUGAUGAUCAGGACUUACAGAACCUGGGGCGAUGGAAACCUCUACAAAUAUCCCAUUUAGAAAGACCGCCAGCCCUGCCAACAGAAUGAAACGGAGGCCAGGUUGCUAUGGUCUCUACUCCAAUGCCUGACAUUGAGCCGCUGCUGCAAAACACUCAGCACAUGAAGGAAUGAAUGAGGAACAGAGAACUUCACCUUUGGGGGUUGGGUGUACAAGCCCCAACUGGGCCCCAAGUCCCAUAAAUAGCUUUGGAUUCCAACAUACAAGCAUUUGACGCAGCGAGGUGCUGCCGACUUGCUCUGUGACUUGGAGCAAGUCAUUUAGCCUCUCUGGGCCUGGUGUCCUCAUCUGCAGAAUGGAGAUGAUAAUAUCUACUUCACAAAGGUGUGAAGGCCCUGUGAGACACCGCAUGUGGAUUUCCUCGACAUUGUUUGCCCAUCGUAACUGCUCCAGAGAGGCUGGGCUCCCUUUUCUCGUUGCAACACUGCUGUUUAUUUCAGGAGAUACUCUAAAAGGGAAGCAAGCUAAAACAAAGAACAACCAAAAACACUGAUCCCGGGACAACUGCCCGGCAGGACAGCAGAGCAAGGGUACUUGGUGCUCUUCGUUGGGGGGAUGUUGGGAGAAGGGGCUGGAGCCAUCCCAGGGUCUCCAGGCUCUGGAAGGGAGCACCCCAUGUCCUCCUCUGGGUGUGGAAUAGGGUGAGUGUCUUAGGGGUGGAGAGAGAACAGGCAGAGUGUGCUCUCACCCCUUAGCUCUGUAGUGAUUUUAAUGAUUAAGGCUACUGUUCGGUCUGCAUUUGGACCUGAGCAACAGGGACCCCUGCCCAGAGGUCCAUCCUUCAGCAGCGUGCACUGCAUCCCCCUCCACUGCAGCUGACUCUAUGAGAUGAAGCAUCUGUCGCUCAGUGUAGCCAUCAGGUCCACUGCCCCUGAAAUAUGACUGACUAGGUUCAAAUGUUGACUCUGACACUUAGAAGCUGUGCCACCUUGGGGCAAGUUACUUCAUCUCUCUGUGCCUUACUUUCUUCCUUUAUAAAAUGGGUAAAAUAAUAACCACACCAUCGGUUGUCUAUGAAGAUUAAAUGAGUUGAUAAUAUAUGCAAAGCACUUAGCAUGGCUACUGGCACAAGGGUCAGUAAACGUUAACUGUUCCACACAUGAAUGUGUUUGAUUCUUAUAAUGCCCCAUGGGUAGAUUCUGUUAUUAGCUCUGUUUUACACAUGAGAAAACUUAGGCACAGGAGGUAAAGUAACAUUUGCAAGGUCACACCGUUAAGUAGCAAGGCUGAGGCUUUACUCCAGUUCUUUUUUUUUUUUUUUUUUUUGAGGCAUCUCACCAGGCUGGAGUGCAGUGGCACAAUCUCAGCUCACUGCAACCUCUGCCUCCCGGGCUCAAGCAAUUCUCCUGCCUCAGCCUCCCGAGUAGCUGGGAUUACAGGUGUGCACCACCAUGCCCGGCUAAUUUUUGUAUUUUUAGUAGAUACGGAGUUUCGUCAUGUUGGCCAGGCUGGUCUCGAACUCCUGACCUCAGG
rnacentral:lncRNA from 1 species